rnacentral:lncRNA from 1 species
UUCCAUAGUUCCCAGCAUAUCAGUCUGAAGUCAUAUCCCAUUCAACGCCACCAACCUUUUCCCGACCACAAUUCUGAAAGUUUGCUGUUAACAAUCUUCCAACUGAGAAUAAAAGAAAUUAUCCCUUAAAAGAUUUAAGCAGAAUCUGAUUUCAUACCGACAUAGCAAGGGAGCACUCACACAACACAUCAGAAAUAGUUUCAAAAUUGUUCCCGCAAAUUUGGCAGUAUGGUUCAACGGAGAGUCCCC